rnacentral:circRNA from 1 species
GCAUCACGUGGGGCAAGGUGGUGUCCCUGUAUGCGGUGGCCGCGGGGCUGGCCGUGGACUGUGUGAGGCAGGCCCAGCCUGCCAUGGUCCACGCCCUCGUGGACUGCCUGGGGGAGUUCGUGCGCAAGACCCUGGCAACCUGGCUGCGGAGACGCGGCGGAUGGACUGAUGUCCUCAAGUGUGUGGUCAGCACAGACCCUGGCCUCCGCUCCCACUGGCUGGUGGCUGCACUCUGCAGCUUCGGCCGCUUCCUGAAGGCUGCCUUCUUCGUGCUGCUGCCAGAGAGAUGAGCUGCCCACCUGGCAGUGGCCGCAGCCUGGCCCUCUGGGCCCAACGCAGGAGGCCCUCAGCACCCGAACACAUCUUCCUCCUCCCCACCCGAGCCUGGAGCACUCUAACCCUCGGAGACCCCCUAAGCCCCGUUCCUCCGCAGACCCAGGCCCUCCGGAAGGG